CACUUGGCAUAUAGAAUGUGAAAAUGUGGCGACAUCGUUGCUUCGCCUCCUCCUUCCCGUGAUCCGAGGCGGACGGCGUUCCACAUAUCGGCCUUUUUUCUUGGUAAUCCAGAAUGACGAACAGACGGCCAUGGAUGAAAGCAAGGCACUCCCGGAGGAACAGUGGAAGAAGUACCAGCUGAUGACCGGAGAAAGCAGGGAGAGGCUGGAGUGCUGAGGGGUGCUGCUGGAGUGCCUGGACGAGGCGGCCCGGGAGGAAAAGCACUGGGCCGAGGAGAUGAAGAGGGACAUUGUUGACUUGGUGGACAUGUACCGGAUGGGCAAUGCCAUCGUGCUGCCUCGGCCAGGAAGCACUCGCUGGAGACUCACAAGCUGCUGGGUGACUUGGAGGGCUUGGGGAACAGCCUUGAGGAAAUUGCCAAGAAUCUGAAGCAGCUCUUGUCCAAGAGGGACCAUUAAGAAACGUGAUCCUUGCUGCUGCUGCUGCCGCCGGGUUAAGGGAUAAAAGGGACGUUAGGCUGUGAAGUAGUGUUGUGAUACUCUUGCUUGGUACCAACAGCUGCACAACACCACGCUGAAGGACGCUUCUGCACCCUGUCGUGUGUGCGGCCUGCUUCAUGUGUCAGAACCUGGACCUCAGAAAGCUGUGGAGCCUCAGAAGGGGAAGCACUAGGAGCUGUGGGUCUCUCCAGCCUGAGCCUUGAGGACUCAGACAAAGCCUGUUGGCUCUGGGUGGGUGCCGAUGGGCGGGAAAGGUCAGGCCUGGACCAUGGGAGGAGGAAGACUUUCCCUCGCUUGGCUCUGAGCAGGCCAGGAAAGGGCUAUGGCUGACUGGCUGGUGCUGUCUGGUCACUCAGCUCAGCAAGGGACUGGAAGCUGGAACUCUCUCUCUCUCACAAAAAAAGUAGCAUAAAAGUGUAUAAGGUCCAUUGAAAAGAAGAGAGAGAGAGAGAGAGCGAGCCAUCUCAUCCUCUCUCUCUCUAUCCCCUCAAUAUCCAGGCAGCAUCUUGGGAGGGGAGGGGAAGAGAAGGGAAGGGAAGGGAAGAAUACAGUAGCUCACUGGUGGACAGAGGAAAGAGACAAGGAAGAAGAAGAAGAGACUCGUCUCAUCUGAUCUCCCCCAGCAUCCUGAAGGCCUGACUGGUUCCCUCGGCUCAGUGGUCUCGUCUCUG